AUUGAACGCUAGCGGAAUGCUUUACACAUGCAAGUCGAACGGCAGCGCGGACUUCGGUCUGGCGGCGAGUGGCGAACGGGUGAGUAAUGUAUCGGAACGUGCCCAGUAGCGGGGGAUAACUACGCGAAAGCGUAGCUAAUACCGCAUACGCCCUACGGGGGAAAGCGGGGGAUCGUAAGACCUUGCACUAUUGGAGCGGCCGAUAUCGGAUUAGCUAGUUGGUGAGGUAACGGCUCACCAAGGCGACGAUCCGUAGCUGGUUUGAGAGGACGACCAGCCACACUGGGACUGAGACACGGCCCAGACUCCUACGGGAGGCAGCAGUGGGGAAUUUUGGACAAUGGGGGCAACCCUGAUCCAGCCAUCCCGCGUGUGCGAUGAAGGCCUUCGGGUUGUAAAGCACUUUUGGCAGGAAAGAAACGUCGCGGGCUAAUACCCCGUGGAACUGACGGUACCUGCAGAAUAAGCACCGGCUAACUACGUG
rnacentral:rRNA from 1 species